CACAAAGAUAGAGGUGCGAUUAUUAAGAGUAAAUUUAUGGAGAACAGUCAAUUCGGCGAAGUAAAUUGAAAGGAAUAAUUGCCGAAGAACAAAGAUUGACUGGCUUUGUUACUGGGGCUGCGGAGAAUAUCCGUAGAACUGUCAUUAUCUUAACGAUAAUGGUGAGCUGUCAGAUAU
rnacentral:ncRNA from 2 species